ensembl:lncRNA uncharacterized LOC103660227
GGGAGGGUUUGGUCCUGGAUCCUCGGAGGAUCUGACCUGGCUCAGCACCUCCUGGAAGGGAGCACCCCGGAGCAUGGGAAGGGAGGGGCCGAUGUUUUGGGGGAACGUCUCGGUCGCCCUUCACCAGACUGAGUCAUCGUAGUGCUUUCAUGACUUAUUCACGUGCGUUGAGCCAAGCCGUAUGCUGAACGCCGGGGUGUAGGAAUGAAGCGUCUGGCAAUCUGUGUGGUCACAGCACGGGCUCCUCGCAGGAGUGCAGGAGGCAGGCGUCACCGUCCGUUGGGGGAGAGACAGUACAGGUGCUCUCAGGGGAGACCAGCUGAAUGAAAACACGUCCACUUUCUUGGGGGAAAAUACAGUUUAGUACUUGACGGCUGGGCCAUUCGUCCCCAUAAGGCCAUUCUCAUGGUCCUUGCUGUUUGCGGCAGUAACGCGAAGAGACGGGAAGCAUCGGAAGGAGCAGCUGAGGGGUGCGCCGGGCGCUCCGGUCACUUCCUGUGGGACCGGCCUGGUUUGCAGCUUCCCGGGGCCAGCGGCCUGGUGACCCUCACUCAUCGCAUGGCGGUUCUGAUGCUCCGACUUCACCCCCUGAAGCUGCCGAGCAAAACUCGGAGGUCACGCCCCUCAGCCCUGGCGUGGCUGCCCGGAGCGGAGCCGCAGCGUGUGAGGGCAAAGGGAGCGCAGAGCUACUUUUCCUUCUGGGCGUCCCGCCUGUCCCCUCUUCCCGCCUCCCGAAGACGUCCUGACCCCUCCUUUCCCGUGGCUCCGGCAGCUGAGGACCGCAGGAAGCCCCUCUCUGCCAGUCUUGCCGUGUCUGUGGGGGUCUGCAGGGUGCGUGCGGGCCUUCGUCCUCAGGCCUCGCUGGGGUCAGACGCCGGCCCCUCUGCUCAACCUGAAAUGCCUCCAGAGACAAGAAGACAGGCUUCUGGAGACGGGUUCUCGAGAUUUCUCAAUUGUGGAGAAAACCCUGGACAGGGGCCAUGUGGUCUCAUUUCCUUGCUAAAAUCCCUUCUUUGUGAACUGCGGUUCGAACACCAGAAUCGCCCAUGCGAAGACAUCUGGGUCCUUUUGCAGAACGCUCGUUGGAGAUGGGGUUGCCUGUGUUACCUCAUGUCUGUUAUAUAAGGACGCACUUGAUAAAUUUCUCCUUGAACACCAUGCCAGGAAAAAUUUCUCUUUCCAAUCUGAUUCCAGAGUUAUUGUACAAUGAAAAGUAUACGAGCCAGCCUGUUUCCCCUUCAUCCAGGAAAUUCAGAGAUAAAUCCAGCGUUCAGCUGUAGUAAACAGCUCAUCCCAGGUGGCCCGAAACAUACUGUUUCUGUUUUACCCUCACUUGUUAUUCUGGGAGUUGUGUUCAGUUUGUAAAGU